GCCCGUGCCAGCUGGGUGCCGGCGAGGGUGGCGCCAUCUGGGGAUCACAGGUGGCACCUCCAGCAGUGAUCACCGUGAGAGUGGUGGUGGUGGUGGUGGUGGUCAAGACUGGGACUCUUAACCAUCAACAUGCAGUUCAGAAGGAUGCUAGCAGUUCAGAGGCUUGUGUGUGGUCCGUAUCCCGUACGUUGCUUGGCCACAGUUGCCCAAGAAGCAUCGGCAAAAAUAAUGGAAGGGCCAUUAUCUGUAUAUAAUAACUAUAUAGCUGAAAGUAGACUACAGUAUGAUGAUUAUCAAAAGGAAAUUGUUAAUGAACUUCAGCGAUGUUAUGAAGAGGUAACGACAUAUACACCACCAACUCCACUGAAUGCACUGCAGAAGUUCCUUGGAUGGCAGAGAGAAGUGUCUCCUCCUAAAGGUGUAUAUAUUUGGGGCACUGUGGGAACUGGUAAGACCAGGCUUAUGGACCUCUUCUUUGAAUGUGUUCCAGUCAACAAGAAAAGAAGGGUUCAUUUCAACUACUUCAUGUUAGAGGUUCAUAAGAGAAUACAUGCAGAGAAGAAAAACAUCAAGAAGAUACAUGCUCCUGACCAGGCUCGUUACUUUGAGCCAGACGGAACAUAUACAAUCAACCACAGACCCUAUGAUCCCAUCCCUCCUGUAGCAAGGGGCAUUGCUGAUGAAUCAUGGCUUAUAUGCUUUGAUGAAUUUCAGGUGACAGACAUUGGUGAUGCUAUGAUUCUUAAGCGAUUAUUUACAGAACUAUUUAAUAAUGGCAUCAUUGUCAUAGCAACUGGCAAUCGUAAACCAGAAGACUUGUAUAAGAAUGGACUCCAGAGAUCAAAUUUCUUACCAUUCAUUCCUAUACUUAAAUCUCAUUGUAAGGUUAUGAAUCUGGACUCGGGCAUUGACUAUCGGACAAAACACCUCUCGGGCUCCAAGAAGGUGUUCUUCAUUAAAUCAGAAUGUGAUGCAGAUGCCGAAGUUAAAGCAUUAUUCAAGCUCUUCAGUGCAGAGGAGACAGAUAUUGUCCGACCACGCAUCCUCACUUAUGGUGGUAGAAGUGUGACAUUUCAGAAGACUUGUGGUGGUGUAUUGGAUAGCACAUUUGAGGAGCUUUGUAAUAGACCCCUUGGUGCCUGUGAUUACAUCCAGCUGUGCCACGUGUUCCACACCAUCUUCAUCAGAGAUAUUCCCGUCUUGAAUCAGAGGUCCAAGAGCCAGGCUAGACGAUUCAUCACACUCAUUGAUACAUUUUAUGACAACAAGGCACGGAUUGUAUGUACCUGUGAUGUUGCACACACACACAUCUUCAGGGGAGAUGAGGGCCAUUCAGAAUUUGUAGACAAAGAAAGCCUUAUGCUCAUGGAUGACUUGGGACUCCAGGAGAAAAGCCAGAGUACAAAAGCUUUAAAUAUAUUCACAGGUGAAGAAGAGAUGUUUGCCUUUGACCGCACUAUAUCUCGCCUCUCGCAGAUGAUGACCCAAGAAUACUGGCAAGAAUAUGAAUCGCAAAAGCGAUGAAGUCGCUUUGGUUCAUUUUUAUUGCAUAUUUCGCAUCCAGAUAGAUAUACUGGAGAAAUAUUUUAACUACUGUAAUUAUAAAUUUUACAAAUGCAUUUGAAGUAUAUUUGAUAGAGUAUUUUGUUACACUGAUGAAUAAUGAGUAAUACAGGUACAUAUAUGUAUAUACAUGUAAAAAUUAAGAAAAAUUAAGGUAGUAAUUUAUUAAUUAACAUUAAAUUAAUGUAGUUUCAUAGGAAUACACCACAAACUCUUAGCCAAUUUUUAUCACAACAUAGUUUGACACUGACAACUGCUUAGGAAUUUUUGAGUGUGUGUGCAUGUGUAAUUACUUAAGUGUAGUUACAGGAUGAGCUUGACUCGUCGUGUCUCGUCUUCCCAGCUCUGUCACAUAACACUGAAAUUACUUAUGGUUUUGGCCUCCACCACACUUAGCUUGCUCCAACCGUCUACCACUCUGUUUGCAAAAGUGAAUUGUUUAAUUUUUUUAGCAGGUUUGUUAUUUAGCUUAAAUCUGUGACCUCAUUUUCUUGAAGUUGCAGGUCUCAAGGAUUCUUCAUCAAUUUUUCAAUUCCUGUUGCUAAUUUGUAUGAUCAUAUCGCCUUUCUCUUCUGUCUUCUAUCUUUGGCAUAUUUAAUGUCUCUAACCUCUGGCAUAGCUCGUCUUUCAGUUCCAAAACCAUUUAGCUGCAUGCCUUUGCAUCUUUUUCAGUUUAUGUGCUUUGUAAGAUAUGGGCACCAUGCAACUGAUGCAUAUUCUGACUUUGUUCUCACAAAGGUCAUGAACAGUUGUCGUGAGGUUGUGAACAACUUCUUUAAUGAAGGGGGGGGGGAGAGAUAGAGAUAUUAUUGAUUAGAGAAUAUACUAUACAGUAUUGCUAUAAAUCAUACUUCCUAUAGCUUUUUGUAAAUAGUGAAUUCAUAUUAUAUUUGAAUACUGUAUUAUGUAGAAUUCUUUUUACAGUUAUUCUACUAGGAUUUAAUUAUUUUUUUAGUACUGUAUAUUGUAACUAAGUAUAUUGUUCCUUAUUGGUAGACAGUAUAAAGUUAUAAAUUGAAAUGCAGAUAAAUGUUGCAUAUUACUAUUCAGGAUAUUCCACAGAGCAGAGUAUGAGGUUUGUGCAUGUACAUACACACCUGCAGAGCAGAGUAUGAGGUUUGUGCAUGUACAUACACACUUGCACAGAGCAGAGUAUGUGGUUUGUGCAUGUACAUACACACUUGCACAGAGCAGAGUAUGUGGUUUGUGCAUGUACAUACACACCUGCACAGAGCAGAGUAUGUGGUUUGUGCAUGUACAUACACACCUGCACAGAGCAGAGUAUGAGGUUUGUGCAUGUACAUACACACCUGCAGAGCAGAGUAUGAGGUUUGUGCAUGUACAUACACACCUGCAGAGCAGAAUAUGAAGUUUGUGCAUGUACAUACACACCUGCACAGAGCAGAGUAUGAGGUUUGUGCAUGUACAUACACACCUGCAGAGCAGAAUAUGAAGUUUGUGCAUGUACAUACACACCUGCACAGAGCAGAGUAUGAGGUUUGUGCAUGUACAUACACACCUGCACAGAGCAGAGUAUGAGGUUUGUGCAUGUACAUACACACCUGCACAGAGCAGAGUAUGAGGUUUGUGCAUGUACAUACACACCUGCACAGAGCAGAGUAUGAGGUUUGUGCAUGUACAUACACACCUGCACAGAGCAGAGUAUGAGGUUUGUGCAUGUACAUACACACCUGCACAGAGCAGAGUAUGAGGUUUGUGCAUGUACUAUUACAGUAUUAUGAAGGACUUACUCCAGUAUUGGUUUGACUUGCUCUGGGCCAAGUCUUCCAUAGUUAACUCUUUUUCUAAUAAUAUGUCUGCAGGAUGUGUUGUUAUUUACACAAGAGGACUUUUUUUAAUCGUGCAAAUUUGUGCAUGAAAAUUAUAGAUGGCCAGGUAAACUGUAUUGUACUUUGAUGACUAAGUUAAUAGCUCUUGUAAUGGUUUUUCAACUUCUUCUUCUUCAGGCACCAUUAGUAAAUUUAUUAUAUAUUGGUGGCACCAAUAUUUCAGUAUGUUAAAUGCAGGAACAUUUUAGAUAACUUUAGAUGUUACUCCCUAAUAAUUCAAGGUUUAAUUGGCUGUAGUGUUGAAGAGAUGGUGCAUGUUUGGCUGCUUUUAAUGAUAAUUUAGUUGUAGCUGUAAAUACUUACAAGUACACACAGAAUCUUCACCAGAACAUUUACUGGUGUGCUUAAUGGCUCACUCACACUUGUCUUCAUAUAUUGAAUGAAUUAUGCUAAGCAAGACUGUAGGAUGAUGCAGUUGACAAGAUUUUGUGACACCUACUUCAACUUAUUCCUUUUGACAUUACUUCAUUUUCAUGUGAUAUGUGUCAGGUGAAUUAAUUCCAUCAGAUAAUUUAGAACUGAUUUAACUGUGGGUAAAAAUAGCAAAUUGGUAAUGAAGUAAUGUUAAUAGGCAUUAAAGUUCUGUCCAGCAAGUUACAAACAUCAAUACAAGAGCUUCCAAGGGUGAAUGGAAUAUUGUAAUAUAUACUAUUUAAUCACAUGCAAUGAUUAAUGAGUCCUGGAUAACAACAAAUUAUGCAGGCGAUGAGUCACAAUAACGUGGCUGAAGUAUUUUGACCAGACCACACACUAGAAGGUGAAGGGACGACGACGUUUCGGUCCGUCCUGGACCAUUCUCAAGUCGAAACGUCGUCGUCCCUUCACCUUCUAGUGUGUGGUCUGGUCAACAACAAAUUGUUUUUUUUUAAGCCAAAUUUUUGGUGGCAUUAUACCUAUUACUUUGGCUGUUUGUAACAAGCACUGUGAUGAAUCUUCCCAUUCAACCCCUUUAAAUACUCUUACUCAUAUGAAUUGUCUCUUUAAUUUAUUUUUAAUCCAAAACUAUAAAAAAAUAUUUUUUUUUCAUGCUAUAUGUCUAUAUAGCAUGACAUGUUCAUGCUAUUAUUUAUAUAGAUAAUUAGGCCAACUUAUUAUUUGUAUCAAAUCCACACUGACCUGGUAUUUACAUGCAUUAGAUGUUCAUUUAUAUAAACAGUUACCUCAUAAUUGUCCUAAAUAUUGUACUGGUGGAGAAGUGAGGAGGUCUCAAAACACACACUUCCCCAUGACUCCAUAAUGACAUCAUGGAAACCUGUUUAUCUUGAUAUUAUUAAAUUGGUCAAUUUGUUGAACUGAGCCACAUCAUUCAUAAGUGACUUUUGUAUUAUUCCUUCAGUUAAUAAUUAUAGUUGAAAAAUGGAUUCGAAGCAGUAUUCAGACCUUUCACUUGAAAUAAAAAAUAAAAAAUAUUGAGAAAAUAAGGUCAUUAAAUAUUUUUUCACUUUGACCACAAUAAAUGCCAUAGAUGAACUUAUUCAUGCAGUCUCAGUGGCGUUAGUCUUGUAUGUGUGUGUACCUUACUAUGUUAUCAAGUGUAUACAUCUGUUUUAAUUACAUUUUUUCAAAAUUAUUAAAAAAAAAUUCCUUUUCUGUUGCAUGAGCAAGUAAAGCAAGUUUUCAGCAAAGGAAUAAUGAUUACUAACUAUUAUAGUUUAUCAUGUUGUGCAUUCCUUAUAAUAUACUGUAUGGAUGCAAAUUGUGGCAAGUGUUUGCUAGUGAGUGCCAUCUUUGACUCUCCUGCCACACACCUUUGCUAGUCUUCCCAACUUGGUGCCUUCUUUUGAUAAUUACUUAACCCACUGUCAUCUGUUUGUAUGUUUAUAAUACGUAAGCUAUGUAAUUUAUACAUUUUGAAGAGGUACAACUUGCACAUGUUAAUAUAUAUCAACUUUUAAGUUUAACAAUGCUGGUAAUAGUGAAUAAAUUUGAUUGUUAUGGGA
rnacentral:misc_RNA from 1 species